rnacentral:rRNA from 1 species
AGGACGAACGCUGGCGGCGUGCUUAACACAUGCAAGUCGAACGGUGAAGCCUUCGGGUGGAUCAGUGGCGAACGGGUGAGUAACACGUGAGCAAUCUGCCCUUGACUCUGGGAUAACUUCGGGAAACCGGAGCUAAUACCGGAUAUGACGCACGACCGCAUGGUCUGUGUGUGGAAAGAUUUAUCGGUCAAGGAUGAGCUCGCGGCCUAUCAGCUUGUUGGUGGGGUAAUGGCCUACCAAGGCGACGACGGGUAGCCGGCCUGAGAGGGCGACCGGCCACACUGGGACUGAGACACGGCCCAGACUCCUACGGGAGGCAGCAGUGGGGAAUAUUGCGCAAUGGGCGAAAGCCUGACGCAGCGACGCCGCGUGAGGGAUGAAGGCCUUCGGGUCGUAAACCUCUUUCAGCAGGGAAGAAGCGAAAGUGACGGUACCUGCAGAAGAAGCACCGGCUAACUACGCGCCAGCAGCCGCGGU